UACGUAGGGUGCAAGCGUUGUCCGGAAUUAUUGGGCGUAAAGAGCUCGUAGGCGGUUUGUCGCGUCGAAUGUGAAAUCCCGGGGCUCAACCCCGGGCCUGCAUUCGAUACGGGCAGACUAGAGUUCGGUAGGGGAGUCUGGAAUCCUGGUGUGAGCGGUGAAAUGCGCAGAUAUCAGGAGGAACACCGAUGGCGAAGGCAGGUCUCUGGGCCGGAUACUGACGGCUGAGGAGCGAAAGGCGUGGGGAGCGAACAGG
rnacentral:rRNA from 1 species